rnacentral:rRNA from 1 species
AACGCGAAGAACCUUACCUGGUUUUGACAUACACCAGAAAACUAUAGAUAUAUAGCCCCCCUUUUGGUUGGUGUACAGGUGGUGCAUGGCUGUCGUCAGCUCGUGUCGUGAGAUGUUGGGUUAAGUCCCGCAACGAGCGCAACCCUUAUCUUAUGUUGCCAGCGCGUUAUGGCGGGGACUCGUGAGAGACUGCCGGGGUCAACUCGGAGGAAGGUGGGGACGACGUCAAGUCAUCAUGCCCCUUAUGUCCAGGGCUUCACACAUGCUACAAUGGCCGGUACAGAGGGCUGCGAUACCGUGAGGUGGAGCGAAUCCCUUAAAGCCGGUCUCAGUUCGGAUCGGGGUCUGCAACUCGACCCCGUGAAGUUGGAGUCGCUAGUAAUCGCAGAUCAGCAACGCUGCGGUGAAUACGUUCCCGGGCCUUGUACACACCG